rnacentral:rRNA from 1 species
GACGAACGCUGGCGGCGUGCCUAAUACAUGCAAGUAGAACGCACAGUUUAUACCGUAGCUUGCUACACCAUAGACUGUGAGUUGCGAACGGGUGAGUAACGCGUAGGUAACCUGCCUGGUAGCGGGGGAUAACUAUUGGAAACGAUAGCUAAUACCGCAUAAUAUUAAUUAUUGCAUGAUAAUUAAUUGAAAGGUGCAAUUGCACCACUACCAGAUGGACCUGCGUUGUAUUAGCUAGUAGGUGAGGUAACGGCUCACCUAGGCGACGAUACAUAGCCGACCUGGGAGGGUGAUCGGCCACACUGGGACUGAGACACGGCCCAGACUCCUACAGGAGGCAGCAGUAGGGAAUCUUCGGCAAUGGACGAAAGUCUGACCGAGCAACGCCGCGUGAGUGAAGAAGGUUUUCGGAUCGUAAAGCUCUGUUGUAAGAGAAGAACGGGUGUGAGAGUGGAAAGUUCACACUGUGACGGUAUCUUACCAGAAAGGGACGGCUAACUACGUG